rnacentral:rRNA from 1 species
CCUACGGGUGGCAGCAGUGAGGAAUAUUGGUCAAUGGGCGUGAGCCUGAACCAGCCAAGUCGCGUGAGGGAUGAAUGUUCUAUGGAUCGUAAACCUCUUUUAUAAGGGAAUAAAGUGCGGGACGUGUCCCGUUUUGUAUGUACCUUAUGAAUAAGGAUCGGCUAACUCCGUGCCAGCAGCCGCGGUAAUACGGAGGAUCCGAGCGUUAUCCGGAUUUAUUGGGUUUAAAGGGUGCGUAGGUGGCUUUUUAAGUCAGCUGGUAAAGUCUGUGGCUCAACCGUAGAAUUGCAGUUGAAACUGGCAGUCUUGAGUACGGUUGAGGUAGGCGGAAUUCGUGGUGUAGCGGUGAAAUGCUUAGAUAUCACGAAGAACUCCGAUUGCGAAGGCAGCUUGCUAAGCCCUCACUGACGCUGAUGCACGAAAGCGUGGGUAUCAAACAGGAUUAGAUACCCGUGUAGUC